rnacentral:tRNA from 1 species
AUUAUUUAUGUAAGUUUACAUUAAAUUUAGAAUUUAAAUAUAUAUAUAUAGGUUUAUAAAUAAUA